GAGGAUGAGCGUGGGAUAGGACAGGUAUGCUUUUAAAACGCCCCCAUUAGGUCUGGCCAGUGUGUGAAAAUAAGUGCCUGUGCACUGGAUGGAAUGGAGAGGAAUGAUCAAAAAAAGGGGGAAAGACAACAAGGCCUUUGAGUCAGAGAAGAUGGACACACUCCGAGGCUCUCUAGCACAGACUGGUUUUAGCAGAAGGUCAGAAUGGACCUAAAUGAGCCACACCUCGGAGCAUUGGGACAUGAACGGGCUCGUGAGCUUGGUUGCCAUAGUGAUAGCGGCAUGUGUCCUGAACCUCAAUCGGGGUGCUGGUCAUCUCCUUGGUAACCGUUAUCUUCCUGGCCUGGUAUUGGAUGACGAAACACUAUGGCGACUGGGUGUGGAAG
ensembl:lncRNA